UUUGUAGCGCUGCAGUUUUUGACGGAAUUCUGUUCGCAACACUGGUUUGCUCAGUACGAGGAAUGCUCGAGAGUGUGGAAACUGAUUCUGCGUUGUGUACCGACUCAAUCUCGUUUAAAUUAAUUGUUUUAGCAACAGGUGUUGAUGCUGGACUUGGAUCAUUUAGUAACAAAUUGUUAGGAUUCGAGCUAGGUUUAUUGAUGGGUUGCUUUAGUGGGAAACUAGAGUCUAUUGUUUUCUGCAUAGAAGUAUCAGUACUAGAAGCGAAUAGGGCAAGCUUUUUCUUCAUUCUUUCGGAAGAGGCCGUAACUUUUUCGUUUAAUGGGCUACUUCGUCUCAUAGAAUCCUUUUGCAAACGCUCUGGCAAAGGUUUGGAUACUUGUGCUAAUGACGCUCCUUCUGCAACACUAGUGGAUAUUGCUGGUUGAGCAGUAGCUUCUACGAGCUUUCUUUUACAUGGUGAGCGUUUAUAAGAAAAACUUGAGUCAUCACUUGUUUCGGAUUCUGUUGCUGGAAUUGACUGAGGCAAUUCCUGAUCUGUACUGUCUCCAGAGGAAUCAGGAAUUUGCGAGGAAUAUGAAAAAAUGGAUUGCGAUCUGGAACAAGAAAUU